rnacentral:lncRNA from 1 species
AUCAAAACUAGAGUCAAUUCAUUGAUUCAGCACACCAAUAAAAAAAAACUGCUGGGAAGUCCAAUGAUCUGUAAUUCAGCAAACCAACCAUCAGAAACCAAGGCUCCACAUGUAACAUCCGAAUGUCAUAAGUGAACAUUUUACAAGACAUUGCUUAGAACAUUCACCCAACCUCCUGUUUAUAUAUGAUAAAACACCCAAAAUUUGUCUUCCAUAGCCACCUAGAAUAUAUGAAUCCACAUUACAUUAACUUGGGUACUAAUCACACUGAAUACUACACUAUCAUAGUAUCAUAUAACUACAUAAGUAAUAUAUUUCCACUCGACGAAAAUCGC